rnacentral:rRNA from 1 species
AGAGUUUGAUCAUGGCUCAGGAUGAACGCUAGCGGCAGGCUUAAUACAUGCAAGUCGAGGGGCAGCGGGGUAACAAUGCCGCCGGCGACCGGCAAACGGGUGCGGAACACGUACAGAACCUUCCUUCAAGUGGGAGAUAGCCCAGGGAAACUUGGAUUAAUACCCCGUAACAUUAUGGAGUGGCAUCAUUCUAUAAUUAUAGAUUUAUCGCUUGAAGAUGGCUGUGCGGCUGAUUAGGUAGUUGGCGGGGUAAUGGCCCACCAAGCCUGCGAUCAGUAACUGGUGUGAGAGCACGACCAGUCACACGGGCACUGAGACACGGGCCCGACUCCUACGGGAGGCAGC